UAUUCUUUCUUAUCUCUCUUCUAUCUCAUCUCUUGCGUCCCCCUCUCUCCAUGGUCUUGUUCUUCCCACCUCGUCGCCUUGCCUUCGCCACGGCCAUAUAGACAGAGAGACUUUGUCUCUCGCGUCUCUCUCUCUCCAUGCUCUCUCUCUCUCUCUCUCUCUCUCUCUCUCUUCUCUUCUCUUCUAGUUCAGUCAACAAAGGUCAGGAAAAUAAUUUUAGGGUUACCAAUUUGGGUUGUAAUCUAACCAUUUGGGUGUUGGCUUGCGGUCGCUCUACCUAGAUCAACAAAGUGCUUAGCUUUUCCAUCUCUCUUGCCCUCUAUGGCUAUUGCGAAAACUCUGAAGCUUUGAUAGGUAAGAACUCCGGAGUGCUUUUCUUUCAUAAGAACUCUGGCCAGUCCCCUUUCUCAGUCUCAGGCCCCUUUCUUUCAUAAGAACUCUGUGGCUCACGAAUUUGAAGUUACUACCUUGCUGAGAAGAAAAUUCCUUCUAUCCAUGGACAUACAAUGGGAGUAAAACUACAGCAGUUCAUAUUUGAUGCGUCUUCAUAGGCACCUUCAACUGCACUUUUUGAGAGAUUGUUGUGUAAUUUUUAGCCUAAAAGAACAAACCAAAAAGUAAAGUGGCUGCAGAGAUAGUUGUUUCACGAGCCACGCCGCUCGAGUUUAUUGCUUUGCUCCUCCUGCGCCUUCAAACCCUUCACUUGAGUUGAGAGUUGAGGUCUUUAGCCCAACCUUUAGACUUGGCCCCCCAAACUGACAAGUAUUUGCAGCCUUUGAGUUGAGAGUUGAUAUCACUCUUGCUUUGCAUUCAAACUGAGGCUGUAGAAGUGCGCAGGCAUCCACCACCGGGCCACUCCUAGCUUCCGCACCACCAAGAAACGUAGGAUUUUAUUGUAAAAGUUCUUGAAAUCUUGUAAAUUAGUAGAAAAUGCUCUGAUAUCUCGUUUUAGUGGGAAACUUGAUCUGGUGAUUGCUUGGUUAUUUUAUUCUGGCAGUUGGUGGAAAAUUAUUUGCUUGUUUAACAGGUGGAAGAUUUUGGGUUUAGACAAAAUACAGGGGAGGUUUUGCCGAAUUUUCGGCAGGAGUCUAAGGGAAGUUUUAUUAGUAAUUGUAACAGGAAUGGUAAAAAGGUCAUUUGUGCCCGACAUUCGCCAGGUGUCGGACACGCACAGGACUUGGUUCGAAUUCCAAAGUGGAAUUGGGAUCGGGUCCUGUCAAAAAUGCCAUCUAAGAGGUUUAUCUAAUUACUUAGAAACAAAAUAAUGUCAAAAAAAUGAAUCGGUUGCCUUGUGAUGGAUUUAUUUCAUAUUCUACUACAUUGGCAAAAAUCAUUGGAUGUUGGCUAUUGUUAAUGUGGACAACGAGACCAUUUAUUUCAUGGAUCCUCUAAAUAGGAUCAUGAUUGAGGAGGAAUGGAAACAAGUUGUAAACAAGGCCAUUGAAGUGUUGAAUGUGAAAAGGAAUAGGAAAGGAAGAAAAACACUGCAGUGGAUUAUUUUGAUGGUUAAGACAGCAAGAGAUCACAUUUGAUGCAAUCCAUGCUUGAUAAGGGCUGAUUGGGAUAAGAGGAAUAUGAGCUUAAAGACAAACCAAUUUGGGCCACACUCCUUGUCAGUCCAGUUUGGUAAGUCAUCUUGCAGGCCUCAUUUCAACAGCUUACACAGGUCGGAUGAGGAGACAUCCUUGAUAGAAGUUGUUCCAAUGGGUAUCUAUUAGAACAUACCCAAAUGUCAACCCAAUUGGAUAAAUAUGGAGCCCUCAACACGUGAACGACUCAACCAAGUUCACAGAAAAGUCAUAGUUGGCUCCCAUCACAUUUAAUGUGGCUACAUCCCUAGAGCCAUGUGCUACACAUAAGAGCAGCUCCACAUGGGACACAAAUUAGCUUGGGAACUCAGAAAGAUGAACAAAAGUCAAACUUGCCAUAAAGAGACUAAGAAUAGUCCACAAAAGUCAUUUAUUAGGCAGUUGAGGUAGAUGAUGGCAGCAAGGUAGUUCCCAGGACAGCUCUAAGCUCUCCCUCCUUUGCAACUAGCUCUCUUCUCUCUUUGUGGUGGAGGAUGGAAUCUGAAUGUGUGUAUGAGUAAUACAUGAAAUGAAUGUCUCUCCCUUUGAAUGAGAGUGCAGCUCUCUAUUUAUAGAGUGCCAAAUUCGUCC